UUACACAUCGCAAAAUGUAAAAAGGAAGAAAAUUAUAUAUUUACACGAGUACUAAUUAGACAAGAGACAACUAACCGAACCGGUCUGCCCGUUUUUCACUCCUCUCUCCAAUUAGUGGCUAACUCUCCAGAUUUUCGAUUUUUCAUCUAAUCAGGAAGAGAAAUGUCGAUGGAUGGGAAUGUUGGACAAACACCUCCAGAUAAUGAAGCAUAUAACGUUCCUCCAGAUACUAAGUUUAUUAUCGACAAGGUUGCGCCGUUCGUGGCGAAGAAUGGGGAACGUGUUGAGAGUGGGCUUAAGAGAAACCACGCUGGUGAUGCUAGAUUUAGUUUCCUGAAUGCUUCUGAUCCUUACCAUGCCUAUUAUCAGUACUGUGUGGCUGAAGCUUACGUACCUGAUCGGAAGCCUACUCAGCCAGCAGUUUCAGCCUCUGCUCCUAUCACUUAUUAGAUGAUAAUCGCAGUUUGUCUGCCAAUCUAGACCUAUCACUUUGCUGAAUAUAAAAUUUGCUUGUGUUAGAUAUUAUUGACUGUAACAUUAGAUGCUUACUCCUUAUUUGCAAGUCUCGAUUAUGAAGUGUUAUCAUUAGGUUGUAAGAUAUCCUGGCGCUUAUUAGCUAAAAAUUGCAGUUUGUUUACCAAAUUAGACCUAUGAUUUUGCUUUUGAUGAUUAUUAUUAACUUUAACAUUA